CCAACUUCAUGCUCUUCCUCUCUCAGUAAAUUAUUGGGAGUGGCGUCAUCACGGCUCGAUCGAACGAUCAGACUGGGUUAUCUGGUUCAGUUUCGCUCAGCUCCACCCCCCUUCUCUGGGAUAGUGGAGACGGUGAUAUCAUCAACCGACAGUGUCCACUCUACUGUCAGAGGUGACGCAAUUGUUGAGCAAAGGAGCGAUCUCCGAGGUCUCGGAGGAUCUCAAACAGGACGGUUUUUACUCCUGUUACUUCCUGGUUCCCAAAAGAACGGGAGGAGUGACGCUGAUCUUGGAUUUGCACAAUCUGAAUGCGCACGUAGCCAAACGACUGUUCCGUAUGCUCACCACCAGUCGCCGGCUAGAAGCCUUCCUGCCGGGAGAUUCCUGCUUGAGCAUAGACCUCAAGGAUGCUUACUACCAUGUCCCGGUCGUUCGUUUUUCCGGUUUGCCUUUCAGGGCAGGGUCUACGAGUGUACAAGGAUUCUGUUGGGCUACGUUCUGGCUCCACGCACAUUCUCCAAAUGUUUGGAGGUGGCGUUGGAGCCCUGAUCAGGGAAGGCAUCAGGAUUUUAGCCUAUCUAGACGACCUCCUGAUUUUAGCAUCGUCCCUGGAAUUGGAAAGGAUACACACUGUCUGAGUGGUGUCCCUUCUCACGCGAUUAGGUCUCGCUGUGAAUUGGAAGAAGAGCGUGCCAAACCAGCCCAGCAGGUUUCUUACCUGGGUCAGGUCAUGGACACACGCACGAUGAGGGCACGCAUUUCAGACACGCAGGCUUUCAAUCUGCUCUCUCCCCUCAACCUGAGCCAUCAUGUCCCUGUUGGGACACUCCAGACCAUCCAUUCAGGCAUCUGACAGUGGUGGAGAGGCAGUUGGAUGAGAGGCAAGUGGAAGAGAGGCAGGUGGAAGAGAGGCAAGUGGAAGAGAGGCAGGUGGAAGAGAUGCAGGUGGAUGAGAGGCAGGUGGAAGAGAGGCAGGUGGAUGAGAGGCAAGUGGAAGAGAGGUGGAAGAGAGGCAGGUGGAUGAGAGGCAAGUGGAAGAGAGGAUGAAGUGUUAACGUUUACUAUGAAGAUAUGUGGCAUGCUGUAUAUAUGAUAAUAUUUAUAAUAUUUUUGGUCUAGAUUGGAUAAUCAUUACAAACCCAGCACAAGCAGCAAAAAAGUUUAAAGAGGCCCUGCUAAGGGACCAUGAAACUGGGAAGCCUCUUAACCUAUCCAUGGACAUGAGGGAUUCUGAAAAUUGCAGAGAAAAGGCCCUUCUGGAGUUCUACAAAGGCCAACAUGAAUGGGCAUUCCCCCUGAAGUGUAUCCUUGAUGGUUAGCAAUGUAGUCUAGUCUGCUAUGAGAAAACAAGUGCUCUAGAAUGGUGGAGUUUUGACAACAUCAUGUUUUUUAUUUUGUUGUAGGUGAUCCAGCAGUUGGGAGGGAGUUCAAUGAUACUUCCUAACAACAUUAAUUUCCAAAUUUCAAUUCGGAUUUAACCUCAACCUUGGUAUUUCCUUGGCGAUAUCACUAUUUGACAUGCUUAAAAAGUUCAUAAUUUUUAUGCAAAUAAUCACAGCCAUUAUUAAAAAUCAGUGAGGCUAUAGAUUACUACCAAAAUUCAUGCUCCAUAUUUCAUCUAGGUGGGACAGGUCGAACUCUUCUGUUUGAGGAUGAACCUUAUCAUCUCGUUCCCACAACCUCCUAGGUACUCGUAGAGAGCAGUCUUUUCAGGGUAGCUGGCAAGAUGUUGGGCAAUACAUUUUUGCACAAUGGCCCCUGUCUAGCUGGAUUGAGUCUGGCCUUAAUACAUGUGUUCCUGGGUGAGGAUCCAGAAAUGGCAACUAUAGUCAUAGAAUGUUCUGCUGAUAUGGAUGUUUGGAGCAUCAUCAAACUGGUAGGUACCAAAUAUAUCCAGUUAAAUGGCUAUUUAACCUGAAGGGCAGGGGACAGCUGCAAGGGAACCAUAAUUUAUUCAGUUCUACAGCCAUCAUCAAUGUUGUGCUACUAUUAUUAACCAUCAGAAACAGCUAUUAAUUAUGGUUUAGUAUAGAUUGAACAGUGGGAAACUCAUCCUUGAAGUAUUAGCUCUGUAGUUCUUUUUUAUCUGUAUUACAUGGUUUUGACUAACUAAUGAAACUCUGAAUAAUUAAAAUAGCAUUUGUAAUCUCUCCAAAGAUAAUCCUAAACAAUGUCUUGGCCAGAAGGGGACAGUGAUGAUGAAGAAGAAGAAAUUGACAUUGAAUCCUUUAGUUGAAUCACUGGCUUUUUCAGGGUCGAAACUGAUAUGGACUUCUUCCUACAGUACUUAUUAAUUUUUUCUGUGUGACAGCCUUUUUCCCCCCUAUCUACCAUUUUCAGCAUCAGCAAGUACACUGGCCCAGCUGCUGAAGUUCUGGGUGGGGUGGGAGAUUGUCCCACAAGAACUGAAAGUGCAGGUGUCCAGAGGGGCGUUUCCAACAUCAGCCACCUGCUUUGAAAUGCUGAAGCUGCCUGUACAUUUCAAGGACUACAGUGACUUUGAGACGGCACUGCUUAAUUAGACAAUUGAUCAAUUAGUUCCUGUAAUGUUUGACCUCUCACAUUUGCUAAUGUUGUGAGAAAGUUAACCCAGGUAGUUUCAAAUUAUUGCCUUGGUUUGUUUUGUAAAAUAUGAGAAAAAUCUGUAUAAAUAAAAAGUAUAGGCAGUCAUUAAAGUCUUACUUAUCAAUUCAACAGCCGUUGUAUUACAUCCACUGUCUCAAUGUACUUUUCGUUGCAUCAUCACAGGUCUCUGCUGGAACAGGCAAAGAAGCUAGCUCUUCUUCUGUGAGUUGAAGGGACAAUUCAGUUUCUGGAAUACCUUUGUAUUUAAUUAUUUCAUGAUGUAUAUAUUUAUUUAAAA
ensembl:lncRNA